rnacentral:tRNA from 1 species
GUAGUUGUGGCCGCGUGGUUAAGGCGAUGGACUUGAAAUCCAUUGGGGUCUCCCCACGCAGGUUCGAAUCCUGCCAACUAUG